CAUAAAUGCAAAGUUUAUCUUUGUAUGAUGAAAAUCAACAAGAUAAUGAUUAACUGAGAUGAGAACUGAAACAAAAGCUCGUUCUGGGUCUUGAGCCUGCCAGCAUUCAGACUGAAACUAUUACUGCCUGCUCUCCUGGGUCUUCAGUUGGCCAGCUGCAGAUCUUGGGAUUUGUCAGCCUUGAUAACCAUGUGAGCCAAUUUAUUACAAUAAAUGUAUAUUCUAUCAUA